UGCGGUGGAGGAGGGAGUUUCUCCAGCGGGAACCAGCCCCGGGCUCUGCCGACCCCAGCCCCUGUGCCGGAGACUCCAGGUGAGAGAGGCUUCGGGGACAGCGCUGGGAGCGGCAGGAAGGCUGCAGAAUAACAUCCAUGUUUUCCUCCAGAUCGUCUCAUCCUCCCAUGGGACACGGAAAAGAAAUGGCUGCUGUUGAGCCAGUCCAGGGGCCGGUGACCUUCGAGGAGGUGGCUGUGUAUUUC